rnacentral:rRNA from 1 species
UACGUAGGGUGCGAGCGUUACUCGGAAUUACUGGGCGUAAAGCGUGCGCAGGCGGUUCGUUGUGUCGGCGGUGAAAGCCCCGGGCUUAACCUGGGAAUGGCCGUUGAAACUGGCGAACUGGAGUGUGGCAGAGGGGGGUGGAACUCCGCGUGUAGCAGUGAAAUGCGUAGAGAUGCGGAGGAACACCGAUGGCGAAGGCAGCCCCCUGGGCUGAGAUUGACGCUCAGGCACGAAAGCGUGGGGAGCAAACAGG